rnacentral:rRNA from 1 species
AUUGAACGCUGGCGGCAGGCUUAACACAUGCAAGUCGAGCGGGGUGAUGGUGCUUGCACUAUCACUUAGCGGCGGACGGGUGAGUAAUGCUUAGGAAUCUGCCUAUUAGUGGGGGACAACAUCUCGAAAGGGAUGCUAAUACCGCAUACGUCCUACGGGAGAAAGCAGGGGAUCACUUGUGACCUUGCGCUAAUAGAUGAGCCUAAGUCGGAUUAGUUAGUUGGUGGGGUAAAGGCCUACCUAGGCGACGAUCUGUAGCGGGUCUGAGAGGAUGAUCCGCCACACUGGGACUGAGACACGGCCCAGACUCCUACGGGAGGCAGCAGUGGGGAAUAUUGGACAAUGGGGGGAACCCUGAUCCAGCCAUGCCGCGUGUGUGAAGAAGGCCUUAUGGUUGUAAAGCACUUUAAGCGAGGAGGAGGCUCUUUUGGUUAAUACCCAAGAUGAGUGGACGUUACUCGCAGAAUAAGCACCGGCUAACUCUGUGCCAGCCGCCGCAGUAA